AUUGAACGCUGGCGGCAUGCUUUACACAUGCAAGUCGAACGGUAACAGGCCGCAAGGUGCUGACGAGUGGCGAACGGGUGAGUAAUGCAUCGGAACGUGCCCAGUCGCGGGGGAUAACUACUCGAAAGAGUAGCUAAUACCGCAUACGAUCUAUGGAUGAAAGCGGGGGACCGUAAGGCCUCGCGCGAUUGGAGCGGCCGAUGUCAGAUUAGGUAGUUGGUGGGGUAAAGGCUCACCAAGCCAACGAUCUGUAGCUGGGCUGAGAGGACGACCAGCCACACUGGGACUGAGACACGGCCCAGACUCCUACGGGAGGCAGCCGUGGGGAAUUUUGGACAAUGGGCGCAAGCCUUAUCCAGCAAUGCCGCGUGCAGGAAGAAGGCCUUCGGGUUGUAAACUGCUUUUGUACGGAACGAAACGGCUCUGGUUAAUACCCGGGGCUAAUGACGGUACCGUAAGAAUAAGCACCGGCUAACUACGUG
rnacentral:rRNA from 1 species